rnacentral:rRNA from 1 species
GAGUUUGAUCCUGGCUCANGAUGAACGCUAGCGGCAGGCCUAACACAUGCAAGUCGAGGGGCAGCGGGAGUAGCUUGCUACUUGCCGGCGACCGGCGCACGGGUGCGCAACGCGUAUGGAACCUGCCCUCUGCGGGGGAAUAGCCCAGAGAAAUUUGGAUUAAUGCCCCAUGUUACCGCUUUAUGGCAUCAUAUAGCGGUCAAAGGCUUCGGCCGGCAGAGGAUGNCAUGCGUACAUUAGUUAGUUGGUAAGGUAACGGCUUACCAAGACAGCGAUGGUUAGGGGCCCUGAGAGGGGGAUCCCCCACACUGGUACUGAGACACGGACCAGACUCCUACGGGAGGCAGCAGUGAGGAAUAUUGGACAAUGGGCGCGAGCCUGAUCCAGCCAUGCCGCGUGCGGGAAGAAGGCCCUACGGGUCGUAAACCGCUUUUACAUGGGAAGAACAAGGGGCACGUGUGCCCCCAUGACGGUACCAUGAGAAUAAGGACCGGCUAACUCCGUGCCAGCAGCCGCGGUAAUACGGAGGGUCCGAGCGUUAUCCGGAAUCAUUGGGUUUAAAGGGUCCGUAGGCGGGCCGUUAAGUCAGGGGUGAAAGUCUGCGGCUCAACCGUAGAAAUGCCUUUGAUACUGGCGGUCUUGAGUUAUGGUGAAGUGGGCGGAAUAUGUAGUGUAGCGGUGAAAUGCAUAGAUAUUACAUAGAACACCGAUUGCGAAGGCAGCUCACUAACCAUAUACUGACGCUGAUGGACGAAAGCGUGGGGAGCGAACAG